UCGUUCCAGGUAAGUGAGGGCAGGAGGAGGUUAAAGGUCAUGUUGGGCAGAGAACUGCUAAGCCCACUUUAAAUCUGUGUCUGUAUCUGUGUCUACGAUGUGUGUAUCUGUAUCUGUGUCUACGCUAGUGUGUAUCGAUGAUAUUUGUCGUGACGUGUGUUUGUCAAACUUGCUAGUUUUAAUCUCGUGCACGGUACGUCAAAAUUUACGUAGUAGCUUUCUUUUUCUAUCAGAAGAGGUCGCGGCGGUAGCGCCAGAGGAGAGCAAUCGAGAGAAAAUAUGUGAGACGUACAUAGAGAUUCACGGUUCGAACCAACCAGCACCCACCAUCGCCGGAAUAAACCAGCUCUCUAUCCCGCGCCGGAGUGAUUCCAGCAGUGCCAAAAACAAAGCGAAGAGGGGAAAGAUGGGAUACACACGCAAGCACGCAGAGUCGAAGGCGUUCAAGUGUCCCAAGUGCUCAGCGACAUACAUGGGAUCCCAGGCAGAGCUGGACAUGCACUUGACCUGCCACGUGGAUGGUCUUAGUGCGUUGGAGUGUCCGCACUGCAGCAAGCAAGUCAACACCUGGUCGCACAUGUCUCGUCAUCUCGGCGCGCAUGGCUUGCGGGAAUACCUGCGCGCCUCCUCAGCCACGCCCGUGAAGCUCGUAGUGUGUCGACAGAGGCUGCGACAGGACGUUCAGGACGAAGGGAGACAUGACGAAGCACUACCAGCAACGCCACGAGGAACCGCGCUACACGUGCGAACACUGCGGAAAGCUCUGUCGCUUCUACGAGCAGCUGACGCGACACAUAGAGGCGAAACACCUCAAGAAGAUCAUCAGGUGCGAGUACUGCCCAUUCAAAACGAAAGUAUCAAAGGCAUUGACUGUACACAUGAGAGUUCACAUGGGUAGAGGCAUCACCUGCGAUGUUUGUGGGAAGCAGUUUCCCACGAGAUCUCAGCUAACCUCGCACAUGGUCCGCCACCAGGAGGGAGUCGGCAGCAUCUGCGACCAGUGCGCUCAAACGUUCAAGUCGAAAGGUUCGUUAGAGGCGCACGUUCGACGUAAACACCAGCCCGUAUCGAAGGAGAUGUGUCCUGAGUGUUCAUUCAUGGGUGACCCAGACUACGUUCAAAAGCACAUUGAGCGAGUACAUCGCAAGCAAUUCAGGUGCGGCGUGUGCGACUACGCUACGAACAGCGACGUUGCGUUGGAGCGCCACCUGGCGAUGCACGACGACAGCCGACCGAUGAAGUGCAGUCAGUGCGAGUAUCGCGCACGCGACGACAAGACGCUGCUGGACCACGUGCGGAACCGCCACACCGCGGAGGAACUGACGCGCGUGCACGCGUGCGGGGUGUGCGGCAAACGCUUCAAGACGCGCACGAUGCUCAAGUCGCAUAUGCCGUCACACACGAACGCCAAGACCUACUGCUGCAACUUCUGCAACUACGCCUGCAAGUACCGCCAGACGCUCUACUACCACCUGCGCGUCAAACACGACGUGACAUCCCUCGCCACUGGGGGGCGUUCCGUCGCCGCGAAACAAGAGACGCUCGAGAUCUCGGGCGGGAUCGAGAUCGGCGGGGACUCGGCCGGGGAGCACACGGUCAUACUGCAGCUCGCCGGCGAGGCGGCAGCCGCGGCAGCACGCGGGGAGGCGGUCGUCAUCGAUACGAGCGGUCUGCCGGACGACGUUACCAUGGAGACGAUCAACGUUGACGGGCGCGGCGAGCGGAUGGGACCCGUCGGACAGACGAUCGUGAUCAGCGGCGGCCAGGUGGUGGCGCCGGUGGAGCAGCAGCUAGCGGCGGGCGACUCGAAGGACAUCGGCCAACAGCAGCAGCAGGAGACUUACGUCCUGCGUCUGUCCGAAGGCUCGCAGGACACGUACGUGCUGAGCAAGGAGAGCCUCGCACGGCUCCAGCAGGGCGACGUCCCCAGCACGAUCAUCCUGCAGCAGCGGGGCGCCGGCGGCGGCGACGGAGAGUCGACAUACAUCGUGCAGACGGAGGCGGAUCAGCAGGCGGCGGAGACGACGACGACGACGCACGCCGCCGAGAUACUGCAGCAGCUGAUGUCGAUCGCUCACACGGGCGACACGCAGGAGGUCGCCGAGGAGGCGGUCGCCCCGGCAACGUGAAAUACUGCAGCAGCUGAUGUCGAUCGCUCACACGGGCGACACGCAGGAGGUCGCCGAGGAGGCGGUCGCCCCGGCAACGUGAAAUACUGCAGCAGCUGAUGUCGAUCGCUCACACGGGCGACACGCAGGAGGUCGCCGAGGAGGCGGUCGCCCCGGCAACGUGAAAUACUGCAGCAGCUGAUGUCGAUCGCUCACACGGGCGACACGCAGGAGGUCGCUGAGGAGGCGGUCGCCCCGGCAACGUGAGGAGGCGGUCGCCCCGGCAACGUGAGGAGGCGGUCGCCCCGGCGACGUGAGGAGGCGGUCGCCCCGGCGACGUGAGGAGGCGGUUGCCCCGGCGACGUGAGGAGGCGGUCGCCCUGGCGAUGUGAGGAGGCAGCGCGGGUACGAUGCAGUCGCCUUGACGACGAGAUGAGGCUGUGCAAGAAGGCAGUUGCCCUGGCAACGUGAGGAGGCAGCGCUGGGAUGAUGCAGCUGCCUUGACAAUGAGAGGGGGCUGUGCGAAUGGAAAUGAUGUGGUCGCCACGGCAACGUCAUGAAGCAGCACAAAAGGGAUGCAAUUGCCUCGGAAACGUAUUUAAGUAGUACAAGACCGGUCUCUGAUUUUGCUGUUUCUGAAACGAAAGAUUCAUGGAAGUAGAAUCGUACCUCUCUCUCUGUAAAUCAUGCCAGGAUGGAGUUACUGGACGGUUCGGUGUGUACACGAUGCGUCCGAUUAUUCAAUCUAAGGUUGCAUGCAUGCGCUUGUGCUUGUUUGCUUUUAACGUCAUACGACGCUCGCUGAUGAUUGUGCUAUUUGGUAGAUUUGGCACAGCAUACGCUACGUGGCCACGCGAUAUCUGCCUGUGUGUCAUGAUGUCGAAUUAAAUCAUACUUAUACGGGUUUACCACAGGUAUUCUAGCAGGGCCAUAUUAGGUCAAGGACAUUCUGGUCUUGAGACCAGAGCCAGGACGGGCCAGCAGUUUUAUCUGCUCAUGAGAGGUCUGUCUAUAUAUGCUAACCUCCUAGACUACCUCUAACCCAUUAGUUACACACGCUACGCUAACUCUAAAGCUAUCUUGAAUACAGGGCCGUAGACUGAGCAAAUUUCUAGGGAGGGGGGCAAAAUUUCAUGACUCAACUGUGUAAUGAUGAGCGACGGGCGUAGCUCU